GGGGAUGUAUUUGGCUUUCGACAGUGUUUUAGAAGUAUGUGUAGCGAGUAGUGGAUGGCUGCUUUGGCCACUAUAAAAAAGCAGAAUUAAAAAUAAACGCUGAUAAUAAUCAAGAAUUAGCAUACGCUGCCUAAGAAUAGGCUGCCGUCUUUUUAAGGAGGUCUACGGCUUUAAAUAAGGCGUCAAAUUUGUAGGAAACAAAGCUAUCUUUGCUAUGAAGAUAGUGGGUAAAUAAUAGCUACUUUAUGUUUAUGUUUGUUUGUUAAUGUAUGCGUAAGGGAAAUUUAAUAACAAACUGCACUCGGAGAAAUAUAUAUGGAAAGAAUACUGGACAGGGGUUCGACUCCCCUCAUCUCCACCA
rnacentral:tmRNA from 1 species